rnacentral:rRNA from 1 species
GAUGAACGCUAGCGGCAGGCUUAAUACAUGCAAGUCGAGGGACCGGCAAACGGGUGCGGAACACGUACGCAACCUACCCAAAACUGGGGAAUAGCCCGGGGAAACCCGGAUUAAUACCUCGUAGUUUUGGAUGGGCGUGCGCCUGAUUAGGUAGUUGGCGGGUAACGCCCCACCAAGCCUGCGAUCAGUAACUGGGGUGAUGGCACGACCAGUCACACGGGAACUGAGACACGGGCCCGACUGCUACGGGAGACUGCAGUAAGGAAUAUUGGUCAAGGGACGCAAGUCUGAACAAGCCAUGUCGCGUGAAGGAGGAAGGUCUCGUGAUGGUAAGCUUCUUGUAUAUGGGAAGCGGUACCAUAGGAAUAAGCACCGGCUAACUCCGUGCCAGCAGCCGCGGUAAUAC